CGGAGGGUGCAAGCGUUAUCCGGAUUCACUGGGUUUAAAGGGUGCGUAGGAGGGCAGGUAAGUCAGUGGUGAAAUCUCCGAGCUUAACUUGGAAACUGCCGUUGAUACUAUCUGUCUUGAAUAUUGUGGAGGUGAGCGGAAUAUGUCAUGUAGCGGUGAAAUGCUUAGAUAUGACAUAGAACACCAAUUGCGAAGGCAGCUCGCUACACAUAUAUUGACUCUGAGGCACGAAAGCGUGGGGAUCAAACAGGAUUAGAUACCCUGGUAGUCCACGCCCUAAACGAUGGAUACUCGACAUACGCGAUACACAGUGUGUGUCUGAGCGAAAGCAUUAAGUAUCCCACCUGGGAAGUACGACCGCAAGGUUG
rnacentral:rRNA from 1 species